UGUUCGACGUCUCUUGCUUUC
ensembl:piRNA 21ur-102 ncRNA